rnacentral:rRNA from 1 species
GACGAACGCUGGCGGUGUGCUUCACACAUGCAAGUCGAACGAGGUAGCAAUACCUAGUGGCGGACGGGUGAGUAACGCGUGGGAAUCUGCCUUUAGAUGGGGGAUAACGGGUCGAAAGACUCGCUAAUACCGCAUAUGACGAAAGUUGAAAGGAGUAAUCCGUCUAAAGAUGAGCCCGCGUCCGAUUAGCUAGUUGGUAGAGUAAAAGCCUACCAAGGCGACGAUCGGUAGCUGGUCUGAGAGGAUGAUCAGCCACAAUGGGACUAGAGACACGGCCCAUACUCCUACGGGAGGCAGCAGUGGGGAAUUUUACGCAAUGGGCGAAAGCCUGACGUAGCGACACCGCGUGAGCGAAGAAGCCCCUUGGGGUGUAAAAGCUCUGUCAGCUGGAACGAAAAAAAUGACGGUACCAGCAGAGGAAGCAUCGGCUAACUACGUGCCAGCAGCCGCGGUUAA